CAGCGCGCUGCCUUCCCUGUGCUCGGGGCUGGCCUCUUGCAGGAGCGGCCCUUCUCUGAGGCAACAGAGCCAUUACCGAGCAACGCCCUCGCGUCAGCCCGACCUGCAGGCCGGGAGCGCGGCUCCACGGGCAGCGCAGGUGCCGCGGGGGCGGGCUGCGCCGGCCCCGCUCCGCCCAGCGACAGAGAGGAGGGCCGGCCCGGCGGCGAGCGCACCUGGACACCGCGGCGGCGGGGACGCGGCCGGCUCCGCGCCCCCUGACGGGGCUGCCAGCGCCGCGCCCGGCCACAGCGCGCUCCCGCCGCCAUGUCGGCCCGGCGGCGGCGACGAGCGGCCGCUGAUGAGGAGGAGGAGGAGGAGAAGAAGAAGGAGGCGGAGGAGGACGAGGAUGGCAGCGACAGGGAAGUGGAUUUGGAUGAAGGACUUGUCGAUUUGGAUCUCAGAAAUGAUUCAGAUACCCCUGAUGUUCCACCGCCAACAGACAGCACUCCAGAAAUCCUCAAAAGGGCUUUGUCGGGCUUGUCUGCCAGAUGGAAAAAUUGGUGGAUUCGUGGAAUUCUAACGCUAGCUAUGAUUUCCAUGUUUUUUCUGAUCAUAUACAUGGGAUCUUUCAUGCUGAUGCUUUUGGUCUUGGGCAUCCAAGUGAAAUGUUUCCACGAAAUCAUUACUAUAGGUUACAGAGUGUAUCACUCGUACGAUUUACCGUGGUUCAGAUCCCUCAGCUGGUAUUUCUUGCUGUGUGUCAAUUACUUUUUUUAUGGGGAGACUGUGGCUGAUUACUUUGGUACAUUUGUUCAGAGAAGAGAACAGCUUCAGUUCUUAAUUCGUUACCACAGGUUCAUCUCUUUUGCACUCUACCUGGCAGGCUUCUGCAUGUUUGUUCUGAGUUUAGUGAAGAAACACUAUCGUCUGCAGUUUUACAUGUUCGCAUGGACUCAUGUCACUUUGCUGAUCACUGUAACUCAAUCUCAUCUAGUCAUCCAAAAUCUCUUUGAAGGCAUGAUCUGGUUUCUGGUGCCAAUUUCGAGUGUUAUCUGCAAUGACAUUGCUGCUUACAUUUUUGGAUUCUUUUUUGGCAGAACUCCAUUAAUUAAGCUGUCUCCCAAAAAGACCUGGGAAGGGUUCAUUGGAGGUGGCUUCUCCACAGUUCUGUUUGGAUUUGUUUUUUCCUAUUUCUUGGCUCAGCAUCAAUACUUUGUCUGCCCAGUGGAAUAUAACAGUGAAACCAACAGAUUUGUGACAGAGUGUGAACCUUCAGAGCUCUUCCAGCUGAAGAAAUACUCUGUGCCACUAUUGCUUCAGGCUGUGUUGGGUUGGGAAACGGUGAAUAUGUACCCAUUCCAGAUGCACAGCAUUGCACUGUCAACAUUUGCCUCUCUAAUUGGGCCAUUUGGAGGAUUCUUUGCCAGCGGGUUUAAACGAGCUUUCAAAAUUAAGGAUUUUGCAGACACAAUCCCUGGGCAUGGCGGCAUUAUGGAUCGCUUUGAUUGUCAGUACUUGAUGGCUACUUUUGUUCAUGUCUACAUCACCAGUUUCAUAAGGGGCCCAAAUCCCAGCAAAGUACUGAAGCAGCUGCUGGUCCUUCAGCCCGAGCAACAACUCAAUGUGUACAGAACCCUGAAAUCUCAUCUUGUCGAAAAAGGGAUCCUGCAGCCAUCUCUGCGAGGAUAGUUCUCAAAACAGAGGAGUGGUGAGAAAAAGACAUUCAGACGUUGUCUGUGGAAAAGCACUGUAAGUGUGCACAAAGGUAAUGGCUGAAGGAAGAAUACAUCAUGAUCUGGAGGAGGUGAAUGUUUCUUUCCUUAAAGGAAUGUGAAUGCUGUGACUUUCCAAUAGGAUACAGGAGAACAGUUAUUCCGAAAAUAAUUAAAAUGCUUACAAAGUAACAGUACACGUGCUAUGUAUUUUAUUUCCCGCAGUGGAUGGUAGCAGGCCUUCUUCAGCACCAAGCCUGACAACAUUUGUAUUUUAAAAAGUGCUUUUUAAGUUGUCCUGGAUUAGAACAGUAAGACUGAACUCACCAUGAGCUAUAUAUCCAGCAAACUUUAGUGAAAUUUCUCAAUUCUCUGGUGGCUUUUAAUGAGUUCUCUGUUACUGUAUGUCAUAGCCAUACUUUCUUGGUGUGAAGUGGUUACUGGAGUAAAAAUACAGAAGAGGGAGGCGGUUGCUCGUUUAUCCAGCUGGGUGCUGAUCAAGUUGGCCAGAAAAUCCACGUUUGUUUGGUCAAAGCUGUGCUGAUGGACAGCUCUGUCAGAUCUCCUGUAUUUACUGAGUCACUGUGAAAGUGAAACUUUGCUCUGCUUUUGAUUAAUCAGCUUUCUUACGAAACUACUUCAUCCUUUCAAGAGGGAGGUAUCUGUACUGAAGCAUACUGAGCUGGUUGGGCUGCAGAGCUGCUGUUUUUUUAAAUUAAUGCUAUGGACUGUAAAGAAGCGCAUAUGUCCAGGAGCAGCGAUUACCUGAAGGUGGGAUUCUCCAACCCUGUGAACAGAUUGGAAAGAAUGUGGAGCUUAAGAUCUUGAUUUCCACGGGACGGUUGCGUUCCCAAGAGAGACGGCAGCAAUUAAUUUCUGACCUUUUUGCCUUCAAGUCUCCUGGCCAUCCAAGAUGGUAACCGCAGACUCGCAGUGAUGGCUGAGCUGCUCAGUACAGGAUUUGGAAUACCCUGAGUUGGAAGGGACCACGAGGAUUGCUUGUCCAAUUCCUGGAACAGAGGAACUGAGCUUACAUCUCCUGUCUGAGGCACUGUGUAUGUUCUACCAAAGCACUUGCAGUGUGUUCUGCUCCUCUGGUACAAAGGCCAGGUUGCUGGAUGGGCACUGGAGGUUGUGCUGUGCUGAGGCCAAGAGAAGAACUGCUUGCAGGGAUAGUGACAUAGCAGCAAAGCAGCCAGAAAGCACAAGUCAUCCUUUUUUUUUUUUUUUUUUUUUGGUGCAGUUCUGUCAGGAGGAAAUAGUUGUUUGGUUAUUUGUUUUCAUUUUGACAUCAGUUGCCCUACAUAACAGUAAGCCUCACUGAGUGGAGUCUCUUUGUCCCGUUGCGCUAGAACGUGUACAAAGCUAAGGUACAGCUGUCCUUUCUCUUGCAAAUAGCUUCUCAGUUAUAAAAUGGAUGUUCACACCCGUGUUGUGGCCUUUUCAAACUGUACAAACUCAGAUGCAGCUGUAUGCGAUGGGAUCUCAGGAACAGGCUGUGACAUUGGUGAUGCCUACAGACUCGUACUGCUGAAAACUGCAGAACUGCCCUCUGGUUUGUUGCCCAGAUUGCACUGUGUGUGCUGAACACCAGUUCUGGUGGUGGAAAUUUCAGCAAAAUCUCUAAAGGAGCAGGUGAGAAAGACUCUUAGAACAGAAGAAUUUAGGACUUUGACAAGCUCAGCCACACCCUUUGCAAGGAUGCAUGACAAGGCAACAUAUUCUCACAGGGGGGUAAAGCUAUAAAACUGCUGUUAGAACUCUGCUCUUUGAUCACAGGAAAUUAAACACUUGGGCCAUCUGGCAAGAGUUGUGCACACCUUCAAAGAAAACACGUGGAGAGGUCCAAUUGCCCGAUCAUGGCUGUUAUUGACUCCCUACCUAUGGCCAGUCUCUGAGGGUUAUGUGCACUUGAAGAGUGUGUGUGAAGCUGUGCACUUCCACCUUAUUUCUCCUGUGACAAACCCAGCAAAUACAGAACAGCCCUAGUUGGAAGGGACCUAUAAGGAUCUUUGAGUCCAAAAUGGAUGAGAGCACAGCAUCCUGAGAAGAAAUGGCUGUCACAUACUGUGCUGUACAGCCUCAUGGAAAUACGUUGCAGGGCCACGUGUUCUAAGGUCAGAAGGAAACUCUCAAAAAAACCACUUCAUUGUGCUUCCCAGUGUGUGUUCAACAUCCUCCCUUCAGAAGCAGUGCUUUAUCACCUUGCUACUGGUUCAGCUGGUGCUGUUACUUUCAUUCCCAGAGCUGAUGUGGAACAUCGGCUACAUAGGAAAGUGAGCCCAAUACACACUUUUUUUUUAACAUUCAAAGUCUUGAACCCAGAUACCUGAGCAUCAGUAGAUGGAAAAAAAAGCCCAAAUCGAUGGGAUGGUGUAUGUGCCUUUGUGUCGCUGAGUCUUCUCCCCUCCUGUGAACCACUGUGCAUACAGUAUUCCCCUAACCUCUUGUUUUCUUUUUUUUUCCCCACCCAGGAGGACCUGGCAGCUGAUGCACUGCAAUCACACUCAGGAAAUGAGAGCAGAUAAGAAGGGUCUGCUCAGGGUUACCUCCCUCAGCAACUCUGCAGGCAGUGGGGCUGCAGGGCCCAUACCCAGCCCAUGAGCUUUGCAGGGCGAAGCAUCUCUUCUGAGCUGUUCCAGGAGAGCUGCUCCUGCAGGGCCUGCUCUGCUCCCAGGAAGAAGCAUCUCCCAGCAGGGAUGUAGCGAUAGGCAGAGAGGAGCUUCUGCAUGGUGAAAGUGCCCCUCCUUGGUGGGCUCUUAGUUUCGUCAAGGUAAGUCCCUUCCUUGCAGAAGUGCUGAACAUGCAGGUGUCUUCAGGACCUCGGGAUCACCUCAUCAUCAGGUAUUUUUGGAAAUAUAAGAGAGAACAGAGUGCUUGGGAAAGCAGGGUUGGCUAUGGCAACUGCAGAAAGAUGCUUUCACCUAAGAGGUGCCUGUAUUUGUGGACUCCUUCCUUGAGGACAGAAGACAGUUGCUUCUGUUGCUCUGAGCCAUGGCGUGGUACCCCUGCUGAUAAGAGAGAAACCUCACAAUCAACCCAUAAGCCAUGGCUUUCCCUUCAAAGGUGCAGCUCUCAGUCUCGCUGGCGUCCUUAAACCAUCCUCCACCUUUCUGCUUAUCUGAGUGAAAGCAAGUUGGAAGGCUCUUUAAGGAUUUGACUUCCCUAACUUGUGGCAGAAGCUGUUCGCUCGAGCUUUCACAUGAUCUGGAACAGGUUUAACCAAAAAACAUUGUGUAGCUCUCCAAGCCUCUGAUGCAUCUUGAUGGCUCUUCUUCAGAGGGCUUCUAUAUCUGAUAGCUGAGAGAAGUGGCUGACUUGCUGCCAUGCAAUCAGUAAAACUUUUAGGCUAAAUACACAUGCUAAAUUAAAAAAAAAAAAAUCCAACAAAAAAUCUAAAAAGCUUUACUAUUUUGGCCCCAAAUGCUCUAAUGGCUAAUGGUUGUGCAGAUCUUCCCAAGGGUGACCAACCCUCCUCUCUCCUGCAGAGAUACAUUUCUGAAGCAGUUCCAAGCGAGCUCACUUUGGCAACAGACCACGGCUGGGACGCAGCUCAGGGAAGGGGAUGGAGGUGGAGGAAGCUUUCCUUCAGCCUGCAUCCAUCCUGACCUCUUCUAAAGCCAAAUGUACUCUAAAAGGCAGAAAGUAAAUUUGACCUUCUCCUGCUCUGCAGUAAACUAACAAAUUAUAGUCUAUGCAGCUGGUGCAAAUUGAAUUUACAAAAAUAUCUCCUUACAAGCGCUUUCUAUCCCAAGACAAACAGAACUCUCUUUUAAGAGAAGCUUGGAAUCUGAUGUGUGAGCUCUCAAGCCCAAGGGUGGGGCUGAUUGGGAUGUGUGCCUCUGCUAUUCUCGUAAUUAUACCAAAACAUCAUUGGUAAUCUAGUAAGUCAUGGCGGAUACCCCUGCCUCUGCUGGAGGGGGACCAGCAGUGUUGUGCUGUUAGUGUUGGCAGGUUUGACUCCACUUUACCCGAGGGACCAUGCCCUCCUUUGGCUAGGAAUGAAUGUGUUGUUGGGCUUCUAUGUUCUUUUAAAUAACUGGUGUGCAUCUAAUCACCUGAUUAGAAUGAAUGUAAUGGCACCCCCUUGUGGCUUGUGUGUGUAGUACUCUGCUGCAUUUGGGCGUUGUUCUGCAGAGACUAAGUUCAGAACCAAGCAACAGAGCUGAUGCUGAUAGAAUUGCCUCCAGCAGCUGGAUUGAAAAUUGUAAAUCUCCAGGAUAAGGCGGCAAAUGCUUUUUUUAUUGACAAUCUGCAGAAACUCUCCUAACACAAAGGUUCAGAGCAGAGCAUUUGUCAGUCUCGGAUGAGGUCCCCUUGUGUACCUCAUGGCUGUCUUUAACACAGGCACGAUGUGCUAACAAUGGCACAAUGACGCUGGCUGCAGACAAAUGCUCCUGGUCCAUACUGGCUUGGUUUUGGAGCACCCGUGUACUCCUGGCAUGUGGAAAAGGUCCCCGUUGCCCGACAAUUUGAAUGCUCCUUGGCUAAAACUUUGAAAACUUCCUUGUAACAGAGAUCUAACUGAGAAUAAUUUUGUCCAUUCUUUACCACCUCUGUCCUCUCCAGAUCUGAAAGACUUGCUUACAAGCUAGCAAAAGGAAUAUUGGCCAAGAAAUGUAAGGCUUUUCCUUAACUGCAUCGCUGUCGCGUUAUCUUGUCUGUAACCAUGCGGUAGUCAGAAAUUGCUUCCCAUUUAUACACUUCCUCCUGUGUUUGGAAACUUCCCCAGGCAGGAGAUUAUGCUGUGCUGUGGUUCAAUGCCCUGGUCUGGCUGCUUUCUGCAGACCAACUCUGCGCUGGUUUCCACUGAGACACUGAAGAAAACUGCCCCCACUUGCUGAUACUGCGCAAUGUCUGAGGACUUGCAGUCACUGAGGAUGCAAGUGUAACAAACCAGAGGACAGCUGCAGUGAUUUGUUUCUUCUUCUCUUGCCAAGAAAAGGUGCCUGGAGUACGAGAACACCUUAGGCCUUCCUGGAGAAAGCUGUAAAGAGUAGGAAGCACUGUAACUGAGCGAUAUUUCUUCAACCAUCUGCUCCUUCUGCACUACCACAAGGGCAGGCCAGCUCCAUGUGAGUGCAGUGGUAGGUGAGCCUCGCUGGAAGCUGCAGGAAGUUUUUAAUUUUCUCUUUUUGUUCCUAGGUGUCAGACAAUGAUCUUCGCAUCGGUACACCAAAGGAAAUAAUUUAAACAUAAUUAACUUGAGCUAACGCUGAAACUCCUGGGAGCAGGAUGGUGUUAACUGUUCAGAGAUUUUUAACUUGCUUUUUAUCAGGGAUGUGAUAAUACUGUUUGAAUUAAGACUUCUUAAUUAAAUGUGACCUGGACGACACUGUGUUCUUAAUUAAACAUGACCUAGGUGACUGUACAGUUAUUAACGCCAUGUUUGCUUACACUGUAGCUCUGAUACACUCUUUAGAGUGGGGACUCCUCAACCAUUGUUUCACUGGGGGCCGACACCGCAACUUAUAUUUAUAAAUGCUGUGCAACUCUU